rnacentral:misc_RNA from 1 species
UCUGGUUUGGCACCGGCGGUCUCCCUAGAGUCCCCGGCAUGACCCGCUGGCAACUAGGAACAGGGGUUGCGCUCGUUGCGCCACUUAAGGCAACACCUCACGGCACGAGCUGACGACAGCCAUGCAGCACCUGUGCAGGCUCCCGAAGGAGCGCCGGCUUUCACCGGCUUCACCCUGCAUGUCAAGUCCAGGUAAGGUGGGGAUGACGUAUUCUACG